CUCUCUCUCUCUCUCUCUCUCUCAGGUUUUAGAGAUCGGAAGCGUGGUUACAGUUUUGUGCUGUAGCUGUUAACUGGUGAGAGCGACAGAGGAAUUGUAGAGAAAAUUAAAAAGCUAGUUGGCUGAUUAUUGACUGCUUGAUUUAAAUUGUUGUGUUAUUGUAUGAUCUAGUGUGUGAGAGUCUUUGGUAAUUGAGAGUGACUAUGAGC